rnacentral:rRNA from 1 species
GUGGGGAAUUUUGGACAAUGGGGGCAACCCUGAUCCAGCCAUGCCGCGUGCGGGAAGAAGGCCUUCGGGUUGUAAACCGCUUUUGUCAGGGAAGAAAUCCUUUGGGUUAAUACCUCGGAGGGAUGACGGUACCUGAAGAAUAAGCACCGGCUAACUACGUGCCAGCAGCCGCGGUAAUACGUAGGGUGCGAGCGUUAAUCGGAAUUACUGGGCGUAAAGCGUGCGCAGGCGGUUUUGUAAGAUCGAUGUGAAAUCCCCGGGCGCAACCUGGGAACUGCAUUGGUGACUGCAAGGCUGGAGUGCGGCAGAGGGGGAUGGAAUUCCGCGUGUAGCAGUGAAAUGCGUAGAUAUGCGGAGGAACACCGAUGGCGAAGGCAAUCCCCUGGGCCUGCACUGACGCUCAUGCACGAAAGCGUGGGGAGCAAACAGGAUUAGAAACCCUGGUAGUCC